rnacentral:rRNA from 1 species
GCGAUCGGUGGAUGCCUUGGCACCAAGAGCCGAUGAAGGACGUUGGAGCCUGCGAUAAGCCUCGGGGAGUUGGCAACCGAAUUGUGAUCCGAGGAUUUCCGAAUGGGGGAACCCGGCUGGAGUCAUGUCCAGUCACCGCCGCCUGAAUAUAUAGGGCGGAUGGAGGGCACGUGGGGAAGUGAAACAUCUCAGUACCCACAGGAAGAGAAAACAACAGUGAUUCCGUCAGUAGUGGCGAGCGAACGCGGAUCAGGCUAAACCGGUGGUGUGUGAUACCUGGUAGGGGUUGCACCAUCGGGGUCGUGGGACUUCAUGGACCGGUCUACCAGCUGGUCGGGGAGUAAGAAAUCACAGGUGUAGUCGAAGGGUCUUGAAAGGCCCGGCGCAGAGGGUGUUACCCCCGUAGACGAAACGCCUGUGACUUCCUUGUGAGGGAUCCCAAGUAGCACCGGACCCGUGAAAUCCGGUGUGAAUCUGGCAGGACCACCUGCUAAGCCUAAAUACUCCUUGGUGACCGAUAGCGGACAAGUACCGUGAGGGAAAGGUGAAAAGUACCCCGGGAG